rnacentral:rRNA from 1 species
GACAAACGCUGGCGGCGUGCCUAAUACAUGCAAGUCGAACGACGAAAGCCUUCGGGCAAGUAAGAGUGGCGCACGGGCGAGGAACACGUAGAUAAUCUGCCCUUCAGUGGGGAAUAACUCUCCGAGAGGAGUGCUAAUACCGCAUAAGACCACAAGCUCUGCGGAGCAAGGGGUUAAAGGAUUUAUUCGCUGAAGGAUGAGUCUGCGUCCGAUUAGCUAGUUGGUGAGGUAAUGGCUUACCAAGGCAAUGAUCGGUAGAUGGUCUGAGAGGAUGAUCAUCCGCACUGGAACUGAGACACGGUCCAGACUCCUACGGGAGGCAGCAGUAGGGAAUAUUGCACAAUGGGGGAAACCCUGAUGCAGCAACGCCGCGUGAGUGAUGAAGGCUCUAGGGUCGUAAAGCUCUGUCGUAUGGGAAGAAAAAAAUGACGGUACCAUACAAGAAAGGACCGGCCAACUUCGUGCCAGCAGCCGCAGUAA